GGGCAGAAAUUAGGCUCUAUUGGCAGGCUCUACCAAUUGCGAAUGAUUUCAGUGGUGCUUAACGCCAUGCUGGAAGGGGCCAGUUGCUUAUCAAACAAUGCUAAAACUAAAAGUAGUACAGAACUCUAAAGUACUAAGGUAAAAGCACUGCAGUAACAGUGGGCACGUGCCAUGUGUGUGGAGGAAUAGCAGAGGCAUGGAGCAGAAUCCUGAUGCAGCCCCUUGUCUCACCAAGCAGAAGAGCAUCUUGAGGAGCCCUGAGCAGGAAGGGAUGGCCUGGGCACCUCCCUUGCUGCAGCAGGACUGCCUUGUGUCCCCACAGGCACCACUCUAACUUAGCCUGUUCCUAAAGGCAAUCUUAGUCAAGGAGGCAUCUUUGCAGUGCCCCUUUACUGUAGCAAGUUCAAGUACAUGACCACAGGUUACUGCCCAGCCAGAGGUGAGUGCUAGCAGUGCAUGAGUCUCUGCUAGUGGAACACAAGCCAGGCUCCUGAGCUGCACAUCUGCCCUGCUGUACAGAAACCAUGGAGAGUCUCCUCCGCUGUCAGAGAGAAGAAGCCUGCAACAGAGGAGACUGAGCCCUGAAGAAGCCUCUCCUUCCAGGGUUUACUACGUAGAAGCAAUGCUCACAUUGCUAGGAAAUGUCCUGGCACUCACCUGAAAUGUAAAGCCAAGAGUAAACUUCCUGUGAACAGAGUCUGAAUCACAAGAUAAAGAGCUUUUCAAAAGCAUCUGUGAAGGAAGAGAGCAUAUUGGGCUGUGGGUACUAGCAGGUCAUGUUGCCAGCAUGGUAGAGGAAAGAGAGCUUCAGAAGGAGAUUGUGGUGCAGAUUCCAUGGCUUCAGUGAUGAAAUAGUGUUCUGUAGGACACUAACUCCCCAGUGCUUCCACAUGGAAACUUACGGGUUCAGCUCACAAGCUCAGUGCUUCCAGGCACAUUGUCCCUGCAUUUGUGCCUGCUUGUGACCUUUACAGCUUCCCCAUAGGAUAACCACUGUGGGGUCAGAUGUGAGAGAAAACUCCAAGGAAAUCAUGCAUCUGAAGAUUUCCUCUGUUUUUAAAGAUGUUACACAUACUGACUGGAGACAUUAGGGGAAGAAGAUGGUUCAGAAAAGAUUUUCCAGUGAAAGGACAUGGUACCACCUGAGAAUUAGGUUUGUUUUCUUUGAUAACUACAUUUUCAUUGUUUUUCAAUGUUAUGUCUCCUACACCAGUAACACAGACCUGGAAGGGUGACCUGAAGCUCCAGGUCUCAGAGCUUCAUCUCCACACUGCACUUUCACACAUGCCAGUGGUGGGGGAAGGUAUCCCACAAUUUGCUGCUUCAGGCACAAUUUGGAGACUCAGCCUAUUCACCUGUAUCACUGUCAGUGAAUUGGCAGAAAGUGGAAUUGCUCGGAUGUCACUGACAAUGGAACAUGGUCUACAAAACUUUGCUAUGGGUCUUAUUGUACAAGCAAGGGGGGGAAAAGUCUAAAUUUGGCAGUGAGGCACUAGAACAAGAAGCUGAAAUACAAAUCAGCUGCAAAGUCAGUAUGAGAUUUGCAGGCAUUUGACACUGCAAUAAGUGACAACCUACGAGUGGUCAGUGCAUGUCAGUCCAGGAAGAUAAAGCAAAAUCUCAGAGUCAGAUAACAUGCCUUGGAUUUUUUUUUUUUUUUUCCAUUAGUGGAGAUGUAGAGGUCUUGACAUUCUCUUCAGAGGUAUUUGGAUUUUAAAAUGGCUGAAGUUUGUCUGUUAUCCAGAAGUUUAAAAAAAAAAUAGAAAAGAAGUAGAAAAGCCUUAGAUGUUAAUUGCUAUUUAUUCAAAAUGUAAUAACUGCAGAGCCUGAAAUUCAUACCAGAUUUAGAAAUGAGAUCAUGAUUUGUAAUAAUUGCUAUUUCUUACUGCUAGCUCCUUAAUGUUUUUAUUUUAAAAAUCAUCAAGAAUUCCUUUCUAGUGUCACUGAUACCCACUCAGCCACCUACUCAUUUACAUCCCACAAGCACACACACACAAUUUGCCCUUAAAUAUUACUGAACAUUUAAAAUCUCUUCCCUCUCUAUAAUUUUCAAAGACUAAUUAUUUCAAAUGUUUUCAUUUUUUAGUAUAAAAGGAAAUUUUGUCUGACACUCACCAGUAAGUUUUUCCAACAUGUAUGCAAUGCAUAGCACAGAACUGCAGAGGAUACAUCCAUGAUGUGCAUUUAUUAGUGGCAGAUCUGGAAAGCUGAGAUGACUAUCAGAAUGAGGAAGUGAUUAGUCCCUCUGUUUGGCACUCAUGAGGACAUAUCUGGUGUCCAGUGUCCAGUCUGGGAUUGCUCUGUAAAAGAAAGAUCUUGGCAAACUAGAAGGAGUCCAGUACAGGGCUACCAGGAUGGUUGGGAGCUGCAGCACAGAGUACAGAGAGAGGCUGAAGGAACUCAAUUUGUUUAGUCUUAAGUAGGGAAAGCAAUGAGGAGAUCUAAAUCCUGUUUUCUACUGCCUAAAAGGGUUGAUAGUGAAGAUGCUCUUCCCAGAGGUGAAAAGGUACAAGGCAGUUAUCACACGUUGCAGCAUGGAAAAUUCCAGAUGAACGUAAGGAAGAAAUUUUUCACCAUGAGGGUGAUCAUGAUAGAGGUGCCCAGAGAGGUUGUGGGAUCUCCAUCCUUAAAAAUGCUCAAAACUCAUCUGCACAAGACCCUGAGUAACCCAUCUCAGCUUUGAAGUUGGCCAGCAGGAGUUGGAAGGUCACUUCCAACCUGGAUAAUUCAGCAGUUCUUUAAUUUGCUCCUUUCUCCUCCCAAGGUUGCCACUAUGCAGUACUGUACUCAUGGUCACAUGGAACUACUGGGGGAAAACGUCUUUCCGAAAUGCCAUCCUCUUUUCCUCUUGGGAGGCAGGACCUGAAACUGCGUUGUGUAAAACCACCUUAAGAACACCUUACAAAGCCAGUGCUUUCUCCAUUUGCAUGUUUUAUUUUGUAGAAAAUUAAAAAGAGUUAUGUAAUCCAGAGAAUUUGUGAAGGGAAUGUGAUUCCUUGUCCAAGUUUCUGGAAGUUAACACCAUCCCCACCAAACAUAUCAGGUCCCAGAAUGAGAUUUUAUCUGGAUCCAUCCUUUGCCAUUGGAAUUUGUUUUCACUCAAAUACACUCAUGUACUCUCAGAAACAGGGAUGCAGCUUGUUGGUAACAUCUCACCCUCUCCCUCCAGUUGCUUGCAGCUGCCUCUAGACUACUAAGAAGAAAACUAGACCAAGUUCGCACUUAGGGAAGAAGGCUGCAGACACUCUGCAGGUGGCCUGUUCCCUACUAUACAUAUAUGUCUCCAUUUGUACACAGAUAUUACCUGCCCAGUAUGAACAAGGCUUGAUAAUUCUGGCUUAUAAUCACAACUGUUAAUCAGACAAGUGGAAAAAGGUUUGAAAACCAGACUGCUGAAAUCCUUCUCUUUCUGCACACACAGAGACAAAGUACUCCCACUCCAAAAUACCCAGUAUGUACCCCAGGUGCUGGCUCCUGCAUCCUCCAACAGGUACACACAGCCCUUCUGCCUGUCCUUCUCUCCCCCUGGAUAGUCCAAUCCACCUGCAAUCUGUCUGUCCCUUCUCACUGUCCUAGACUCCCCUUGACCCGGACUGGACACCAGUAUUUGUCAUACUGGCACUUGUCUGUGCUGGGAAUUUCUGAGUGGAGCCUGACACCUGAAAAUGCCUGGGUAAGAGGAAGGCAGAGAAAUUGUCUGUGGACUGCAGAGGUUUUUUGCAGGAAAUCUAUGGUCAGUGCACCCUCUCUCCACAUGAAGAAUGCUUGCUGAGCCCCCAGACAGAAGGGAACAUGGAACUAUGUUGCAAAAAGUGUGAAUUGGUUUCAUUCAAUUUUAAACAGAGCGUUACUGUAUUCUAAAUCCAUAAUCUCUGGAUGAUACUGCCUGUGGAGUCAAGGGGAGUAAGAAUAGAAAAUAUAGCCACAGCUGGAGCUUAAGCAGAAUAUAUCCUUCCAACAGAGCUCCACAGGGUUACAGGUAUGGCUGCCACUGGAAGGACUCCCUCAUGUCUUGGAUCUAGCUGCACACUCGCCACUCCACUGGGAGAAGAGGGAGGAUUUUUGCCUGUCGGAGCUACACUUUCCAUCUGCCCUUUAUGCACUGCUCUCUUCUGAAAGACACUGUAGAAGCAUUAGGGAUUAUUAGAGAGGAUGAAGCUGCAUGAUCGAGUAUUAAAUAUUUAUUCCCUUGUA